GCCAGGCGCAGUGGUGCACACCUAUAAUCCCAGCCCCUCGGAGGCUGAGGCAGGAGGAUCAUGAGUUCAAAGCCAGCCUCAGCAAAAAUGAGGUGCUAAGCAACUCAGUGAGACCCUGUCUCUA
rnacentral:sRNA from 1 species